CAGUAGCCGCGGUAAUACGGAGGGUGCGAGCGUUAAUCGGAUUUACUGGGCGUAAAGCGUGCGUAGGCGGCUUCUUAAGUCGGAUGUGAAAUCCCUGAGCUUAACUUAGGAAUUGCAUUCGAUACUGGGAAGCUAGAGUAUGGGAGAGGAUGGUAGAAUUCCAGGUGUAGCGGUGAAAUGCGUAGAGAUCUGGAGGAAUACCGAUGGCGAAGGCAGCCAUCUGGCCUAAUACUGACGCUGAGGUACGAAAGCAUGGGGAGCAAACAGGAUUAGAUACCCCGGUAGUCCCUGUCUCUUAUAC
rnacentral:rRNA from 1 species